rnacentral:rRNA from 1 species
ACUCCUACGGGAGGCAGCAGUAGGGAAUAUUGGUCAAUGGGUGAGAGCCUGAACCAGCCAUGCCGCGUGCAGGAAGACGGCCUUCUGGGUUGUAAACUGCUUUUACCAGGGGAUAAAACGACUCUGCGGAGUUAAUUGAAGGUACCUGGAGAAUAAGCACCGGCUAACUACGUGCCAGCAGCCGCGGUAAUACGUAGGGUGCAAGCGUUGUCCGGAUUUAUUGGGUUUAAAGGGUGCGUAGGCGGGCUAUUAAGUCAGUGGUGAAAUCCAGCAGCUUAACUGUUGAUGUGCCAUUGAUACUGGUAGUCUUGAGUACAGAUGAGGUAGGCGGAAUUGACAGUGUAGCGGUGAAAUGCAUAGAUAUUGUCAAGAACUCCGAUAGCGAAGGCAGCUUACUGGGCUGUAACUGACGCUGAUGCACGAAAGUGUGGGGAUCAAACAGGAUUAGAUACCCUGGUAGCUACGAGU